AACGCACAUUGCGCCCGCCGGUAUUCCGGCGGGCAUGCCUGUUCGAGCGUCAUUUCAACCCUCAAGCCCCCCCGGCUUGGUGUUGGGGCGCCCGGGUCCCCCGCGGCCCGGGGCCCCCAAGUUCAUCGGCGGGCUCGUCGGAGCACUGAGCGCAGUAAAACCGCUAUCACGCGGACCUCGCUCGGCCCGCCCCGGCGCGCACCAGCCGCUAAACCCCCCAAAAAUCACAAGGUUGACCUCGGAUCAGGUAGGAAUACCCGCUGAACUUAA
rnacentral:misc_RNA from 1 species